AUCUGUUACGCUGAAAUUGUAGCAAAUUGGGAUCCAUUUCCUAGUGAGAUCAGUCGCAUCAUCAAAAUGAAGCUAGCAUCUUUGUUCCUUGUAUUGCUCAUUGCUGUAGCAGCUGAAUGCUCCGUAGGAAGCAAGGUUCUUGGUACAAUUGGCAAAUUCCUCCCUUUUUCAUCUGAAGUAGUUCCAGAAGAAGGCGCGGUAGGAGGUGAUGCAACGGGUGAAUCGAGAGCGUAUUUGGUGCGACCAGUGACAGAGGAAUGGAAGGAGCGUUUGCUAGCUUGAAUAUAACAAGGAAUUGUUAAGAUUAAAUCUGAAUUAAUAUGUCAACAAACCCAAAAUUAUUUCUCAAGUUGAAACAAUCAUUGCAAUAUGAAUAAUUGAUUAAACAAAUUGAUGCACAUA